UUGCCUCUAUGUCAACCAAUGACAAGCUAAUUGGAGCAACCAUUUCCCUAUAAAUAGGGACUUCAUUCUUUUGGUUUUGGUUACCAACUAGUGCACGGGUUGGACGCUGUAGUGAGAUAUAUGGCUACAUGCAAGCAUGCAUGUUAAGCCUUUGUAGAGAAGAAUUUUUUUUGUUAAUCUUUCGAAAUUCGUAACUUUCAAUCCAAAAUUUCGAUUGAGGAAUAGUUUUCGUCUACAUGUUCAGUGAAUCGAGCUCAACAUUCUAAGGUAAAUUUUGAGGAAUUAUUAUUUAGGUUUGAAUAAUUCGUUCAAAUUGGGUUUAUGACUAAUUAGGCUUAAAUCUUCGAUUCAAGCUUGUUCUUGCAUAAUUUGAGGGCUUUGAAGCCUAUUUGAUGACUGGACAACGAUUUCUCAGACAUUAAGGUAAAGAUUUACAUAUGAUCAGAUUUUUGGGAUUUUUGUACAAGUUUCAUAUGGAUGAGAUUUAGAAAAAAAAUUGAUGUUUGACUCGAAAUUCAUCAAAUUUAGUCCUUAAAGGACGUUUGUAUGGAAGAAGUGAGUUGUACUAUUGAUGGAUUGUGUUUUGGCUUGAAAGAUAUGUUGAAUUUCUGGGAAAAUAGACCUCAAAGCCACUGGUUUCAUACCAGGGACUGAACUACAAAAAUAGUUUUAGUUUUGGGGUAAUUGUGUAAAUUACUAAAAGUUUGGGGUCCAAAGUGCAAUUAUCAAAAAUUUUGGGAUCUAUUUGAAAUAAUAAAAAGUUCAAAUACAUAAUUUUUAUUCUGGUUAAGUGAAGGUCCCUAUUGGAUAUAGUUGUUGUUAUGGGAAUAAAGUUUAGUCAUUAUAUAUGGACAUAUAGUGGCAUAUUGUAAUUGUUGAACUAGGGACUCCAAUUACUCGUAGUGCUUGCGUUUAAUCGAGGUAUUGGUGAGGAAUAUUGCUUGCUUGGCUUGGAGACCAGGUAGGAGAAUCCUCACUUACCCUAGUUAUGGAAUUUUGUGCAUGUAUGUAUAUGUAAAUAUACGAAUGCCUAUGAAAGCUACAUAGAUUUUGUUGUGAUAGAACCAUAAGGAAAAAUGGUUUUGUUUUAUAUCAUGAUAUACAUGUUGUUUUAUGCUACAAAUUAAAGUGAUGACUUGAGAGUGAAGGGGGCAUAGCGACCGCCUUGGGUUUCGAUCCCCUAAACCUCCGGAGGGGAUACUACAAAGGGAUUAGUAUCGCUACCUUUCUAGGAGAGGUACUAGGACAUCUAAGGGUAGAGCAUUAAGGGACACUCUCGCUACAACUUACCAUAAGUAUAUUCGUUCGGAGUUGGUCCAGGUAAGCGAGUAGUUGGUCAUUAGACUGGUCAUCAGGCAUGUAGCAAUUUAUUGGGAUCCCUAUUGUUUUUUUAAAGGAAAUUGUGUGAGCAUAUAACCUAUUUUCAAAACUAAACAAAGCUUUUGUUGUGCAUCAAUCAUUUUCCUAUAGUAUAUAUAGUGUCGUAUACUAUUUUCAAACCUAGCUGGGGUGGAUUCCCUGAGGGGGAACGAUGAACGUUUGUGAUGCUUACCAUUACUUUAUUACAGGUCUGGUGCACCUAUAAGUAGACGAACUGGACAAAAGUCGGGACUAGCGUUGUUUGUUACUUGUCAACUUCUCAGUUGUUCAUAGCCUCAUCGUCUUGAAGGGAUUUUUGUAGCCAAACUCAACGUUUUGCAUUUUCAAAUCGUACUAAAGAGUUGGUUUAGUAUGAUAAUUACCUUAAACUCUUUGGUUUUGUUGUAGAUUGUGAAAUUCUUUUCCUAUGUAAAAAUUUUAUCCAAAUUCAGUUGCCCUUUUAUUCUUCGUUUUAC
rnacentral:lncRNA from 1 species